AGUCCCUUCCCCAAUGGUGCGUCCCAGCUUGUACUUUCCCAUCUGCUUUGUGGUGAAGAAACCCAUCACUCUCUCUCUCUGGAUCGGGAAAGGGGGGGAUUUCGUAACGAGUUUGACCGUUGGCUCGUGGUGUGCAGCUGAAGAACGUCUCCUCCUCCCUCUGAAGCGUAGAUAAGAAUAUUUAACUCUUUUCUUUCUUUUGUACGUGCGCCUUAGGUAGACACAGAUGGCUUUAUAUUCUAUUAAGAAAGCUAAGAAAAUAAAAAUAAAAUAAAUGGUCUUUUUUUUAUUAAUUUUUUGGGGUGGGGGUUACGUGUCCAUUUGAGCUUCAUAAAACUAACAUAUAUAUAAAGAUGGUUUCGGAUA